AGGUAGCAUAAUCAUUUGUUAUCUAAAUGAUAACUAGUAUGAAUGGUCUGACGAGAAAAUAACUUUCUAAAAAGAAAUAAUAAAAAUUUAUCUUAAAGUAAAAAAGCUUUAAAAACUUAGAAAGACGAGAAGACCCUAGAACCUGUCUAUCUGCAUAGUUUGUUGGGGUGACAUUAUUUUAAAACAAAUAACUAUUUUAACUCAUUAAGAGACUUAACCUAUCUUUUAAAAAAAAAGAAAAAGGUACUCUAGGGAUAACAGCAUAAUCUUCUUUUAGAGCCCUAAUCGACAAGAAAGAUUUUGACCUCGAUGUUGAAUUGAUAUUCCUUCUUAAAGCAGAAUU
rnacentral:rRNA from 1 species